rnacentral:sRNA from 1 species
UGAAUAGUGUUCGGAUUGUUAUUGCAACC